AUAUAGAAAUAAAUAAAUAAAAAUUAACAAAUGCCAUUUUUAGUCAUGGUAAUGACCACUUCACAAAUAAUCCCAAUAAACUUUUAUCAAUAAGUCUCAUGUUUGUUAAAUUGUUGAUCAUGUAAAGAAUAGAGUCAAACUAAUUGAGAACAUGUGUAAUUAUUCUACAAUAUUCAAUAUAAUAAUAAUUAGAAAAUGACUGUAGUCAUUGUAAUAAAAGAAUUAUGUGUCGUGUAAUUUAACCAUUAAAUUGAAUUCUAUAUACAUAUAUAUUGAAAAAAAAAUUAAUAUUCCAUAAAAAAUAAAAAUAUUUAAUAAUAAAAAAUAAAAUUAAAAACUAUUAAAUAUUACAUAAAAAAAACAAUAUAGUACACGCAUAGCAUAAGCACUUAACUAGUGUUAAAUAAAUUUCUGGGAGAAGCUCAAUCAAGAUUCUGAUACACAUUAGCACCUACAGACCAGUCUUAUGAAUAAUAAUCAUCAGAAACAAUUUUUUCCUUGUCUUCUUUUUACCAUAUGACUGGUCUG
rnacentral:misc_RNA from 1 species